rnacentral:lncRNA from 1 species
AGACCUCCUGAGCCGGGACUAGACUCUCAGGCUCAGUGGCCAGUGUGACUCGAUCCACUGAAGAGGAAACCUGCAAAAAGAGCUACCAAAGAAGCCUGCAGGGGUGCUGCCCCUGGCCCUGAGGCUGGAGAGAGUCUUGAAGAUGAGGAGAAAGGGAGAAGGGCAGUCCCUUCAGGGCUUAGGGAACCAGGCCCUAACAGAAGUCCAAUAAAUGCAGGUCUGUUUGAAGACCUGAAGCUGUCUUUCAGAAACUGGGUCUGAAGAAGCCUCACAGCUGUUGCCAGGCCUGGGAGAGCUGCCAUCAGAGGCCGCUGCUGCGGAGAAAGUCCUUCUGCUCUGUCCUGAAGGGGAGAAGGCCAUGUCACCAUAGGUCUCCUGCUGGGGGUGGGCCAGGAUUCUCAGCAAGGAGGUAGAAAUGACCAGGGCAAUGACAACAUGGGGAUUCACAUGGACCUAUGUUAAUGUAUCAAGAAUAGUCGGACCAAAGCUUGUUAACACAGAAUAAAACAGGGAAACCAAAAAGUAGUGGAGAGGGAAUAGAGAAAUAUAAUUCCAAAGAAAUUGCCUCCAAACACUGGAGUAACUGUACACAAAAUGUAGCUCUGAGCUGGGCAGCCAAAACAGAGAAGGGAGCAGAUGAGUGACAUUAGACUCUCUGACUAGUAGAAGGAAGCAUUAGUAUCCAUUUCUCAGAAAAGAAAUUGCUUUCCUGACUCCUGAGCAAAGGCAGCAAACCACAGUCCCUUCUCAUACUUCUUAAUGAAGAAUUCCUGAACCAGGGAUUCAGCAUUCAUAGCAAAGGGAAGUCUUACCCCAGAGGGAGGCUAGUGAGGGACACCAAAUCAAAGAAGACAACAGUUUAUUUAGGUUAGAAGGAAGAACAAGGCUGCAAAGCUAAUGAAGCUUGGCUUCAGGAUCGCACAGUUACAGGUCCUUCCCUCACAUUCUCUCCCCUUUCUCCGUCCACCAGGGCAAACUAGAGAUUUAAGUUUUCGCUUUUGUUGACUUUACAAACUCAAUUCAUGGGUACAGAUGGGGAUUUAAAAACAAAAACAAGGACCUGGAGCAGUGGUUCAUAUGCCUGUCUGCACUCUGGGAGCUGAGGCAGGAGGAUGACUGGAGGCCAGGAGUUCGAAACCAGGCUGGACAACAUAGUGAAAUUUCAUCUCUACAAAAUUUAAAAUAAUAAUAAUAAUAAUAACCAGGCAUGGUGGCACAUGGCUGUAGUCCCUACUCAGGAGGCUGAGGCAGGAGGAGGGUAUGAGUUCGAGCCCAGGAGGUUGACGUUGCAGUGUGCUAUGAUUGUGCCACUGCAGUCUAGUCUAGGGUGACAUUGUUUAAAACUGUUCAAACACACACAAAGUGAAAAUUGUAAGUGCUCUUCUAAAAGCAUUGCAUGUUGGAAAAUUAGACUAGGAGGCACUUUGACAUCUUUUUAGACCACAGAUUUCUGGGGAAGCCAGAAAGGAGCUGGGGUGGCAAAACUAGGAGCACAAGGAAUGCCUCAUUAGCUGUGCUGGGGGGCCAAGGG